rnacentral:rRNA from 1 species
CUGCUGCCUUCCGUAGGAGUUUGGUCCGUGUCUCAGUACCAAUGUGGGGGGUUAACCUCUCAGUCCCCCUAUGUAUCGUCGCCUUGGUGAGCCGUUACCUCACCAACCAGCUAAUACAACGCAUGCCCAUCGUCAACCACCGGAGUUUUCAACCCCAUGCGAUGCCGCAUGAGAUAUUAUGGGGUAUUAGUACCAAUUUCUCAGUGUUAUCCCCCUGUUGAUGGUAGGUUGCAUACGCGUUACGCACCCGUGCGCCGGUCG